AUAUAGUUCAUCAUAGUAUGAACUAUAAUAAAUUUAUACUUGCAAGGUUCAGUGAAAGAAUCGAUAUGGGAGGCUGCUCAGUUUCAUGGACGAAUUCAUGAACACAUCCCAAAAGGGGUUAUGUGUUUGAGUUGUCUCUGAUGUUGGGGAGAGUAUCCCAUGGACAGAGAGAUGAGCAGAAAGGAUUUUCCUUUGAGGGGAAACCAUAAGAAAUUUAACAUUAUUGGAGCAAAAAUGGAGGGGCUGAUGCCAGGAAAUGAACCUUGUCAAUAGGGUAGAUAAACAGGGUAUAUAAAUUGGAGUGAGUUUUUAAGAAAUUUCAAACCAGUAUGAGUUUUGUGUUCUAGAAAGAGAGAUUCUGAAGGAUGGAUUUGCAGAGGGCAGGGUGGGGAGACAAACAGGUAAGUUACCACUAGAUAAUUGCUGUAGUGAGUGCAAAUUGGGUCACAAAGAGUUAGACACGACUGAGCGACUGCGCACGCAUGUACACAUGCAGAGGGGAGCUGCAUUUCUGGAGGCAGAAGUCAGGAGUUCUGUUUUUCAGACAUACUAGGUAAGAGAUGUGUGUUAGGUGUUCAAGUGGAGACCUAUUUGGUGAACAGUGAGGCACGGGGAUUUUGGAACAGUGAAAUGUCUAGGAAAACUCAGGGUUUGGGCUUGAUUAGUUGGGCAGUGCUGUUUAUCAGAAUGCAUAUCUAGGACAAAGAAGCAUGCUUUAAGGGUCAAAGUUGGAAGCAGGGGAAAGUGAAGUGACUUCCAUUUCUAGCAUGUUUUAUUUGUGGUACCUGUGGGACAGCCAAGUAGAGAUAUCCAAGGACAGUUGAGCAUGUGGAUUUGGAAUUCAGAUGGAAUAAGUCUGGGCUAAAAUAAAUCCAUAGUAGUAGAGUUGAUUGCUCAGGGAUGGUUAGAACCUAUAGAUUACAAUGGGGAGACUGAUCAUUAAAUUUAAGGAGCAGGAGAGACUGGCUGAAGGGAGUACCUGGAGAGUAGAAGGAGAAUCAGGAGAGAGUAUUGUCAUUGAAACUUAGGAAGAUAAGGAGUGAGUGUUCUUUGGCUGUGGCUGUUGGAGUGAGGAGGGUUGUAGAGCUUAAUGAGCAUAGGCUAGAGCCCAGAUUGCAGGGUAUUCAGUUCCAAAUGAACACGAGAAGCUGGGAACACCGUUACAGACUUAGCUGUGAGGGAAGGAGAGAUGUGUGUCGCGCAAGGGUAGAUACUCCAGACUGAUACUGAAGACUGGGAAAGUAGUUCCUCAGUAAAUAAUGCGCCAGGUCCUGGUGUUGAGACUGGAGAUAGAGUAAUGAAAGGUAAGAGGACGUUCUUAUUGUAGAGCUUACAUUUUAAUGGGGAGAGGGUAGAGAAAAGAAACAUAUAAUUUAAUUUUGGUUAGUGAUAAAU
ensembl:lncRNA